GUCCGAACGGUGACGACGGGGCUYUGCCCUGUCUGAUYCAGUGGCGAACGGGUGAGUAACACGUGAGUAACCUGCCCUUGACUCUGGGAUAACCGCGGGAAACGGCGGCUAAUACCGGAUAUGAGACGUACAGGCAUCUGUUGCGUCUGGAAAGAUUUAUCGGUCAAGGAUGGGCUCGCGGCCUAUCAGCUUGUUGGUGGGGUGAUGGCCUACCAAGGCGACGACGGGUAGCCGGCCUGAGAGGGCGACCGGCCACACUGGGACUGAGACACGGCCCAGACUCCUACGGGAGGCAGCAGUGGGGAAUAUUGCACAAUGGGCGCAAGCCUGAUGCAGCGACGCCGCGUGAGGGAUGAAGGCCUUCGGGUUGUAAACCUCUUUCAGCAGGGAAGAAGCGCAAGUGACGGUACCUGCAGAAGAAGCGCCGGCUAACUACGUGCC
rnacentral:rRNA from 1 species